rnacentral:rRNA from 1 species
GACGAACGCUGGCGGCGUGCUUAACACAUGCAAGUCGAACGGAAAGGCCCUGCUUUUGUGGGUUGCUCGAGUGGCGAACGGGUGAGUAACACGUGAGUAACCUGCCCUUGACUUUGGGAUAACUUCAGGAAACUGGGGCUACUACCGGAUAGGAGCUCCUGCCGCAUGGUGGGGGUUGGAAAGUUUCGGCGGUUGGGGAUGGACUCGCGGCUUAUCAGCUUGUUGGUGGGGUAGUGGCUUACCAAGGCUUUGACGGGUAGCCGGCCUGGGAGGGUGACCGGCCACAUUGGGACUGAGAUACGGCCCAGACUCCUACGGGAGGCAGCAGUGGGGAAUAUUGCACAAUGGGCGGAAGCCUGAUGCAGCAACGCCGCGUGCGGGAUGACGGCCUUCGGGUUGUAAACCGCUUUCGCCUGUGACGAAGCGUGAGUGACGGUAAUGGGUAAAGAAGCACCGGCUAACUACGUG